UACGUAGGGUGCGAGCGUUAAUCGGAAUUACUGGGCGUAAAGUGUGCGCAGGUGGCCGCGCAAGUCGAGUGUGAAAUCCCCCGGGCUCAACCUGGGAAUUGCGAUGGAGACUGCAAGGCUAGAAUCUGGCAGAGGGGGGGUAGAAUUCCACGUGUAGCAGUGAAAUGCGUAGAGAUGUGGAGGAACACCGAUGGCGAAGGCAGCUCGCUGGGACGUAACUGACGCUGAGACGCGAAAGCGUGGGGAGCA
rnacentral:rRNA from 1 species